GUCAUAUGCUUGUCUCAAAGAUUAAGCCAUGCAUGUCUCAGUACAAGCCAAAUUAAGGUGAAACCGCGAAAGGCUCAUUAAAUCAGUUAUGGUUCCUUAGAUCGUACCCACAAUUACUUGGAUAACUGUGGUAAUUCUAGAGCUAAUACAUGCAAACAGAGCUCCGACCGGAGACGGGAGGAGUGCUUUUAUUAGAUCAAAACCAAUCGGUGGCGAGUUCGCUCGUUGUCGUACAACUUGGUGACUCUGAAUAACUUUACGCUGAUCGCACGGUCAUCGCACCGGCGACGCAUCUUUCAAAUGUCUGCCUUAUCAACUGUCGAUGGUAGGUUCUGCGCCUACCAUGGUUGUAACGGGUAACGGGGAAUCAGGGUUCGAUUCCGGAGAGGGAGCCUGAGAAACGGCUACCACAUCCAAGGAAGGCAGCAGGCGCGCAAAUUACCCACUCCCGGCACGGGGAGGUAGUGACRAAAAAUAACGAUACGGGACUCAUCCGAGGCCCCGUAAUC
rnacentral:rRNA from 1 species